AGUGGUGUGGCCCAGUGGAUAGAGCACUGGCCUAGGAGCCAGAAGGACCUGGGUUCAAAUCGCGGCUCUGCCA
rnacentral:tRNA from 1 species